rnacentral:rRNA from 1 species
UACGGAGGGGGCUAGCGUUGCUCGGAAUCACUGGGCGUAAAGCGCACGUAGGCGGCCUCUUAAGUCGGGGGUGAAAUCCUGGAGCUCAACUCCAGAACUGCCUUCGAUACUGGGAGUCUUGAGUUCGGGAGAGGUGAGUGGAACUGCGAGUGUAGAGGUGAAAUUCGUAGAUAUUCGCAAGAACACCAGUGGCGAAGGCGGCUCACUGGCCCGAUACUGACGCUGAGGUGCGAAAGCGUGGGGAGCAAACAGG